CCCCGCCCCGCUAGUAAAAGCCGCCAGCCCCGCUCCCUGGUGCCCAGUCCUGACAGCAGGCUGACAGUGUGCCGCUCAUCGUACCGGGCAGCAUGGGCUGCAGUCACUCAUCUGCGGGAGGUUGCAAAGGUCCUGAAAAAGACACGUCAGAUGAUUCCACGUCACAAGAUGACAAACACAGGAAUUAUGGAGGAGUAUAUGUUGGUCUCCCAACAGACACAUCUACAUGUAGAGAUUCAAGAGAAGCAGAAGGAACGUAUGUAACAAAUGUCUCUAAAUGAUUGCAGCUCCAAGCCAAUCGAAAGCACUGAAUGCAAGGCCUGGAUCACCUCUACCUCUACCGGAGAAUGUCUGCUAGCACAUUGCUUUCCUAAGAACUCUUAACACUAAGUCUGGUUCCUGUCCUUGAAAGAAGAUCUUGUUUACAUCCAGAGCAUAAAAACAAUCCAUGCAGAUGAUGGUUUUCGCCGAGGUUACAGAUACAUUCAGGCUGUGACCUACAUAACUUCUACUGCACUUAUAUAUUGUAACAAACAUUACAGCUGCCUUAGGAAGACAAAACAUAGUAUAGGAUAGCGGUCUUCAAACUGUGGCCCUCCAGAUGUGGCAAAACUACAACUCCCAGCAUGCCCGGACAGCCAACGCCUGUCCGGGCAUGCUGGGAAUUGUAGUUUUGCCACAUCUGGAGGGUCAGUUUGAAGACCACUGGUAUAGGAUUUCACAUCUCGGUUCUAACAUGUAACCCAAUUGCAUUAAACAUGACGAUAAGGACCUGUUUCUGUUCGGCUGUCCAGGCAUGCUGGGAAUUGUAGUUUUGCCACAUCUGGAGGGCCACAGUUUGAAGACCGCUGGUAUAGGAUUUCACAUCUCGGCUCUAACGUGUGACCCAAUUGCAUUGAACAUGACGAUAAGGACCUGUUUCUGUCCGGGCAUGCUGGGAAUUGUAGUUUUGCCACAUCUGGAGGGCCACAGUUUGGAGACCGCUGGUAUAGGAUUUCACAUCUCGGUUCUAACGUGUGACCCAAUUGCAUUGAACAUGACGAUAAGGAGCUGUUUCUAAGGAAAGGCUUGCUGUAACUAAUAUGGUUGGAUGAUAUGAAUGCAGCCAUGCUCUAUGUAGAUUUUACACUAAUAGCAAAACUGUGAAUUUUAUACAUUCUGAAUUAAUAAAAAGAUUUUUCUGUAUUUUUGUCAUUUGUGUGAGCUAACUGGCUCUCUGCCGGAAAAACAAUGCUUAAAACAUAGGGGAGGUAUCAAAACCUCUGCAGAGGAAAUACGAGGCAGUUGCCCAUAGCAACCAACCAGAUUUUUUUAAUUUUUUUAUAAAUGAAAGAAGCAAAGAAAAAAUCCUCUGAAAGGUUGCUAGGGGCAUCCGCUCCACUUUUUCUCUGUACAGGUUUUGAUAAAUCCCUCUUAUGGUGUAUGAACCAACAGGCCUUCAACUCCCUUGGAAUAUGAUUUCUCUCCUCACAAGACUUCUAUUUUGUGUCAGUCGGCCAUGUUAUAAAAGAUCAGGAAGGGUCUGGCCACUCUCCAUUAAAGGGGUACUCUGCCCCUAGCAUCUUAUCCCCUAUUCUCGAUGUCAGAUCGAGGGGGUCCCACCGCUGGGGACCCCCGGGAUCUCCGCUUCAGCACCCCGCUAUCAUUA